rnacentral:miRNA from 22 species
AAUAAUACAUGGUUGAUCUUU